GAAUGUGCCAGGGUCAAGUCUGUACUGAUUUUCAUGGUGAAUAGAUUACAUGCUCGCAUUCAUGUUCACUUCCGAAGCGCUUCGUGUCUUCCUUCCCUUUUUUACAUAUUAACCUCAAAUACCCUGUCCGGUUUCCUCCAAGUUUUGCUAGAGGUAUUUACAAUAUUUUCUUCGCGUCAUUCAGGUUCCCU
rfam:Pelodiscus sinensis unplaced genomic scaffold scaffold189, whole genome shotgun sequence.